AGACUCCAGGCGGCUGCCACCGAGGGCGGCGGGGGACCCGCGCUGCAUGUGUAAUGGGGGCUGGGAACAAAGACGCGCAGGACCCGGCGGCCGGGUACCAGCCGCCCCGACCUUCUCGCCAGAGCUUCAAUGCCCAGCUCCCCACGUUUCCCAGGACUGGCCAGGGGACGUCCCGGCGCGCCCGCCGGGGUUAGGCGCACCCCGGCACCACUGAGAGAGGGAAAUCGGUGCUUGGACCGUAGGAGAAACAAGCUUUCCAGGCGGAACUCCGCUUGUUUACGCCCGCGCCCACAUACCCCCAAACACACAUGCGCUGGCCGAACACCUCCAGCCACACGCCCGCAGCCGCGGGCGAGCUGAGCGCUGGUCACCCACCCCGCCACGUGCCUCCUGGAGGCCCGAAGGAAGAGGGACCUGUUGGGUUUUCCAUCUUACCCACCCCCUCCCCUCCCAAGUGCCCAAACAAAGCGGUCCCGCGAAGCGACCACACUCCGCAUCCCGGGGCCAACGGCAGGGAAAGAGGGAGCAGGUGGGAGCCAGCACCAACAGCCCGCCGGGCCGGUAACGCGACGCAGACUGGUGGCAAGAGAUGCAGGGGACUUUGGGCUGCGUGAAGCCGCCCCCUUCGCUUCGCUACACUUAGUGACUCUGAGGGACAUGCAACCCUCCCCGCAUGCUGCUGCUGCUGCUGCACCUACAAUCCUGCCACCCCCAAUGAGAUCUGCCCACCCCUCUUGGCCGCCUUCCCCACGCUCAGGUUUUCCUCACUCUUUCCCUGGGUUCCACGCGCCCGCGUAGCCCGAACUCCGACCCUGAGGCUCCGCGUCCCGGCCCCCAUCGCAGGGGCGCCUCUAGGAACCAGAAUCCCGCAGAUGACUGCACAGACAAGAUCGUGCCCCCAAGUUCGGCGAGCCGGGCGCCCACCGCGCCCCCAGCCCACGCCCCCGGAGUUCCUGCGCCACCCACAGCGGCCCUGAGCUUCAAUCUGCACUUUCAAAACUUCCCAGUUGCCUCCAGAGCCCUGCAGUUGAAGAUCUUGUCUAGCACAUGGUUUUGCUGUUUUCCUCACCCCGAACUCCCUCCUUGGAGGGCCAUCGUUCUCUGUCUCAGAUUCCACCCUCCUUAUCACACAACUAGAGCUUCGGAGGAACGUGAUGGGGCUCCCAACUAAGGAGGGAAAGACCAUCAUAGCUCAGGGAUGAGGCUCCGAGAUCCUCAGAUAACAUUAAUUGUCCUCUGUCUUCUCUUGACUUGGCACAUCCUUGCUUGGAGCAGGGCAGGAGCAGCUGAAAGGGAGGUGGCACCUGGAGGUCUCAGUCAUUUCACUUCUCUGAGCCUCAGUUUUCCCAUAUGCAAAGUGAAGAGGUACACUCCCUCAGGGUUUUGCAUCUUCUUAAUGGCAGAAACCUAGUCAAACAAAAUAUUAUGUAAAUGUUCACUAUAGGCAGGGCGAGGUGGCUCAAACCUGUAAUUCCAGCACUUUUAGAGGCCCAGGAGGCUCUUGAGGUCAGGAGUUCGAGACCAGCCUGACCAACAUGGCAAAAACCUGUCUCUACUAAAUAAUACAAAAAUUAGCUGGGCAUGGUGACACACACCUGUAAUUCCAACUACUCGGUAGGAGGCUGAGGCAGGAGAAUCGCUUGAACACAGGAGGGAGGCGGAGGUUGCAGUGAGCUGAGAUUGCACCACUGCACUCCAUCCUAGGUGACAGAGUGAGACUCUCUCUCAAAAAAAAAACAAGUUUAUAAAGGAAUGUAUAUUGUUCUGAUUGACAUUGAAAUAGGGUCAACUACCCCCGGUCACCAGAGCAGCAGGAACACCUCAGGGGCCACACUUUGGAGGCACUGCCCAGAAAGAUUUCUGGGUCUUUAAAAGUCCCUUCCAGUCCUGGGAAAUUCUAUGUGAAAAUGAUGGUCCCUGCUUGCUAUAAUCCCUACAGGUGACUUAUUAUCUAAGCCAUUUAACACAGGAUUGAAUACUAUGCGACUGUGUGCCAAGCAAGAAGCAGUGUUGUAUGGGACACCCUAGCUGUGUAUAAGGUAUCUGGUAAUAACACAGGAGGCCACAGUGAUAGACUGUGAUAACGGAAGUAAUUCCAUAUCCAGUUUAAGUGUCUUUUCUAGGGAGUAUAAAUCGUUAUCUCCAUUCCAAUAUGGACUGAAAGGUAUCGACUUUUAUCCAUGUGCCAAAAAUUAGAUUGGCUGGUUCCUCUCUUCUACUCCAUACCAGGUCAGGUAUCAUAAUAAGGACUCAGAGUGGUCCAAGCUGCCCAAAUAUCUGUGUCUUCCACUCUGACCUGUCUGGGAACCCCAAAUUUAUAUCCAACUGCUUACUUGACAACUGCAGUUGGUAGCCUAUCAGGCAUCUCAAAUUUGACCUAGCCAAAGCAGAAGUCCUCAUUUUCCCCGUAAAUCUCCUCCCCAGUUUUCCCUGUCUGAAUCAAUGGCAUAAGCAACUACACCAUUGCUCAAAUCAGAACCUUAUGAGUCCUACUGAAACCAGCCAAAGAGUCCCAUAGACAGUUGUUUUUGUUUUUGUUUUUGUUUUUGUUUUUGAGACAGAGUUUGGCUCUUAUUGCCCUCACUGGAGUGCAGUGGCACGAUCUCGGCUCACUGCGACCUCCACCUCCUGAGUUCAAGUGAUUCUCCUGCCGCAGCCUCCCAAGUAGCUGGAAUUACAGGCACGCCACCAUGCCCAGCUAAGUUUUGUAUUUUUAGUAGAUACAGGGUUUCAUCAUGUUGGCCAGGCUGGUCUUGAACUCCCAACUUCAGGUGACCUGCCUGCCUCAGCCUCCCAAAGUGCUGGGAUUAUAGAAGUUGACCCUUUUGCAGUUAAAGCUGGAAACUUACUUGUUUUAUCCGAGUUCCUUCCUCAGGAAAGGACCUUCAGGCCUCUCACAAAAAGUAUCAAAGAACUGAAGCCAUAAAAAGUAUCAAAAGAACUGAAACCAGAUCACUGCACUAGAUGCUGGGCCCCUCAGUCACCAUGAUUGCUUCCUUGCCCCUCCCAUGUUCCUGUUUUCUUACAUAUUGUUACAUUUCUUUCCUGCUAUAUAAACCCUUGGUUUUGGUCAGUCAAGGAGAUGGAUUUGAGACUGCACUCCCAUCUCCUUGGCUGCAGCACCUGAUUAAAGCCUUCUUCCUUGGCAAUACUUGUCAUCUCAGUGAUUGGCUUUCUGUGCACCGAGCAGCAGGACCUAGACCAAACCCCUGGUGUUUCGGUAACAAUACUUGAUUCCUCCCAUAUACAGUCCAUCAGCAAAAUAGCCUCAAAAGUGUAUCCACCAUCCGACUACUUUUUUCCAUGUACACUACUGCAACAUUGUCUUAUAUCUGGACUGUUGCAAUAGCAGUGAACCAGAAGGGAGCUUAACUGGUCCUCUGAAUUCAUUCUUGCCUUAAAUAAAUCUUCCAUAUAGUAACCAAAGUGAUUCCCUGCCAUCAUUUUGAUCAUGAGCUCAUCAAGCAAAUACUAGGCUGGUUGAGAAAGGUGAUAAUGGAUAUUUGAAAAACGAGUUCUAUUUGGGUUUUCUGUUCUUUUGAACGACUACAAGAUUGCUAAAUAUCACAUUUGGUAUCAGACAUCGGGUGACCAAAAACUGAAAGGCAAAAAAAAUCUGAAACCCCAAAUGUCUGCUGUAGAAUUUAUGGCAGUGAAUUCUGCCAUUAAGGCAUUCAGUGUGUUAGGACCACUAUUCCCUGGCUUCCCCACCCUUCAACAAUCAAGACCAGAAACCAAGGAAUUGAGAAGAAUCAGUUGAACAUGACAUUCUUUAGUAUCAAGCUAUGGAAGAAGAUGGAAAACUAUAGCAUUGUAAUAAGACUUGGCAUCUAUAUAAUUAUAAUGAAUUCUAUUAAGGGAUUAAAUACAUUCAUUUAGCAAGAUAAACUUUGAAAGUAACCACAGUUUUUAUAAUGUUAUUUGGGAAUUUCUUCAUUUGAGAAAAUAUAAGUGGCCUCACCCUCUCUCAGUUUCUGAGAGGCCCUGGUUAGACAUUCACUGUAGUGGGUAAUUUAGGCAUAGCAAUACGAAAUUAAACAAUUUUAUGAGAGUACCAUUCACAGUGUAUAAUUGUUGGGGGAGGGGUGGGCAGUGUAUACUUUCUUUGGUAAUACAGUUCCCCCAAGACUUAAUAAGCUAUCUGUUAUUUCCUAGACACAGUUCUCAAAGUGCUUUAUUUCUUUGCCUUAUUUAUUUUCUUCCUAGACCUCGUACUUUCCCCGCCCCUUUCUCUUAACUUAAUGGUGGUUACUUGAGGUCAAAAAAAUGAAUUGGCUUGGGUAGAAAGCUAACACUAUCUCUCAAGAGAGAUUAGAUUAUGCUGUGCUAAUGGAAAAAUCCCAAAACCUUAAUGGCUUAAAAUAACAAAAUUUAUAUCUUUCUCGUGAUACAUAUCCAUUGGAGGUCAACAAACAAGCUCUACUCAUUGUAAUAACUCAGGGACACAGACUAAGAGGGCUACCUUUUGAUACAUGCUUCUACUAUUGGAGAGACAAGGGAAAGAGAGCAUGGUAAAUGCUGGCCCUUAAAACUUCUACCAGACUGGGAAGAUGAUGGUUAGGUUGUUGGCUGCAUUGUUUUUGAAUCUUUCAAAAUCUUCACAUGAAAACACAGAGUAAGCUGGGUGUGAUGGCUUAUGCCUGUAAUCCCAGCACAUCAGGAGGCUGAGGCAGGAGCAUCACUUGAGCCCAGGAGUUCAAGACUAGCCUGGACAACAUAGUGAGACCCCCGUUUGUUAAAAAUAAAUAAAAAUAAGGCUGGGCAUGGUGGCUCACGCCUGUAAUCUGAGCACUUUGGGAGGCCAAGGCAGGUGGAUCACGAGGUCAAGAGAUCGAGACCAUUCUGGCCAACACGGUGAAACCCUGUCUCUACUAAAAAUACAAAAAUUAGCUGGGCAUGGUGGCACAUACCUGUAGUCCCAGCUACUCAGUAGGCUGAGGUGGGAGAAUCACUUGAACCCAGGAGGUGGAGGUUGCAGUGAGCCAAAAUCAUGCCACUGCACUCCAGCCUGGCAACAGAGCAAGACUUGAAUGUCUCACAAAAUAGCAAUAAUUAAUUAAUUAAAAUAAAUAAAUAAAUAAAAAUGAAAAACACAGAGCAACUGUAUGGAAAAAACCAGACCAUCCAAGUGCACUCACUGAAAAACCAGGUGACAGGAUUUCCCUCAAAACAUCAAAAUACAAGCAAAUAGAGACAAACUACUAAUAGCAACAAAAGCUGUGUGGGCGAGCCUCUGCGCAAGAGGGAGCAGGAUACAACAGGGUAUAUGACAUACCUGAGAACCUCCAAGAAUUCACACAGGAUGGGGAAAUGUUUAGCUCCACCCAGCAAAAUUGGAGUCUUCAUGGAAAACUCAGAACAUUCAGUAGAGACCCAGAGAGUCACUCCAUAGUGGAGCUAAACCAGCCCUAGAUAAUAAAGGCUAUUGUAAACCUCAAUACUAAGCUAAAGGAACAAGCCUUGACAUGAUCAACUUGAUCUAUAAGUUAAUUUAACUACCCACCAGAGGAACCAUCACUUUUUAAAGAAAUUCUAUCAAUCUGACACUCAGUAAAAAAAUAUUUUAAAUGCCCACAUCUAAUAAAAGAAUUACUAAGCAUAGGAAGAAGCAGGAAAAUGUGACCCAAAAGAAGCAGAAAAAUCAUUCAAUAGGAACAGAUACAGAAGUGACAGAGAUAAUGGGAUUAUCAGUCAAGGAUUUUAGUUUAAUUUGAUUUUUACAGGUAUUUUUGUACAAAUUCAUGGAGGACAUGAGAAAUUUUGUUGCAUGUAUAUAAUGUGUAUUGUUCAAGUAAUGGCAUUUAGGUAUCCAUCACCCAAGAUCAAUACAUUAUUCUUAAAUAUAGUCACCCUACUCAGCUAUCAGACAUUGAGUUUAUUCUAUCUGUAUGUUUGUACCCUUUAACCCAGUUCUCUUCACCCACCCACCCCAGCUCCCUACUCACCCCUCCCAGUCUCUGUUAUCUAUCUCUCUACUGCCAUAAAAUAAAAUAUUUUAGUUUCCACAUAUAAGUGAGAAUAUAUAUUUGUCUUGUUGUGCCUGGCUUAGUUCACUUAAGAUAUAUCCAGAUCCAUCCACGAUGCUGCCAAUGACAGGGUUUCUUUUUUUUUUAAUUAAAAUUUAUGAGACAAGGUCUCACUAUGUUGCCCAGGCUGGUCUCAAACUCUUGGGCUCAAGCAAUCCUUCCUCCUCAGUUUCUCCAAGUGUUAGGAUUACAGUCAUGAGCCACCAUGCCUGGCCAAUUUCAUUCUUUUUAAUGGCCGAAUAGUAUUUCAUUGUGUAUAUAUACUACAUUUUCUUUAUCUGUUCAUCCGUUGAUGAAUGCUUAGGUUGAUUCUAUAUCUUCUCUUUUAAGAAUAGUGCAAUAAUAAACAAGAAUGGAGGUAUUCCUUUAAUAUAUUGAUUCCUUUUCCUUUGGGUAGCUAUCCAAUACUGGGAUUGCAGGAUCACAUAGUAAUUCUGUUUUUAGUUUUUAGAGAACUCUCUAUACGGUUGUUUUCCAUAAUAACUGUGCUAGUUUACAUUCCCACCAACAGUGUAUAAGAGUUCCCUUUUCGGCCAGAUGUGGUGACACAUGCCUGUAAUCCCAGCAUUAUGGGAGGCCGAGGAGGGAGGAUUGCUGGAGUUCAGGAGUUUGAGACCAUCCUGGACCAACAUAGGGAGACCCUGCUUGUAUCUACAAAAAAAAAAAAAAAAAAAAAAAAUUAGCCAGAUGUGGUGGUGCAUGCCUGUGGUCUCGGCUCUUCAGGAGGCUGAAGUGGGAGGAUCACUUGAGCCCAGGAGGUGAAGGCUCCACUGAGCCAUGAUCGUGACACUGCACUCCAACCUGGGCAACAGAGUGAGACCUUGUCUCCAAAAAUAAAAUAAAAAAGAGUUCCAUUUUCUCUGCAUCCUCGUCAACAUUGUUAUUUUUUGUCUUUAUAAUAGUAGCCAUUCCAGCUGGGAUAAGAUAAUUAUAUGGUGGCUUUGAUUUGUAUUUCUCUGAUGAUAAGUGACAUUGAGCAUUUUUUCAUAUGCUGUUAUCCAUUUAUAUGUCUUCUUUUCAAAAUGUCUAUGCAUGUCCUUUGUCUACUUUUUAAUGGGAUUAUUUGGGAUUUUGUUCCUGUUCAGUUGUUUGAGUUCCUUGUAUAUUCUGGAUAUUAGUCCCCUGUUGGAUUAAUACUUAGCAAAUAUUUUCUCCCAUUCAACAGGUUGUUUCUUUACUCUGUUGAUUGUUUCUUUUGCUUUGCAGAAGCCUUUUAGUUUAAUAGAGUCCCAUUUGUCUAUUUUUGUGUUUAUGGCCUGUGCUUUUGAGGUCUUAGUCAUAAAUUCUUUGCCUAGACCAAUGUCCAGGAGAGUUUUCCCUAGGUUUUCUUCUGGUAUUUUCAUAGUUUCAAAUUUUGAAUUUAAGUCUUUAGUCCAUUUUGAUUUGGUUUUUGUAUAUGGUGAGAGAUAGGGGUCUGGUUUCAUUCUUCUGCAUGUGACUACCCAAUUUUCCCAGCACUAUUUAUUGAAGAGGGUUUCCAUUCCCCAAUAUAAGUUCUUGUCAGCUUUGUUAAAGAUUCGUUGGCUAUAAAUAUGUGGCUUUAUUUCUGGGUUCUCUAUUCUGUUCCAUUGGUCUAUGUGUCUAUUUUUAUACCAGUACCAUGCUAUUUUUGUUAAUACAUCCCUGUAAUAUAUUUUGAAGUAAGGUAAUGUGAUGCCUCCAGCUUUGUUCUUUUCACUCAGGGUUGCUACUGAGAGGUGAAACCAGCUGGACUCUGGAUGGGGUGGGGACUUGGAGAACUUUUCUGUCUUACAAGAGGAUUGUAAAAUGUACCAAUCAGUGCUCUAUAGCUAGGAUUUUAAAAUGCACCAAUCAGCAUUCUGUGGUUACCUAGAAGUCUGUAAAAUGUGCCAAUCAGCACUCUGUAAAAAUGCACCAAUCAGCUCUCUGUGGCUAGCUAGACGUUUGUAAAAUGGACCAAUCAGCACUCUAAUCUGGCAAUCAGCACACUGUAAAAUGGACCAAUCAACAGGACAUAGGUGGGGACCAAUAUGGGAAUAAAAGCUGGCCACCCCAGCCAGCAGCAGCAACCCACUUGGGUCUCCUUCCAUGCUGUGGAAGCUUUGUUCUUUCACUCUUCACAAUAAAUCUUGCUGCUGCUCAAUCUUUGGGUCCGUGGCACCUUUAAGAGCUGUAACACUCACCACAAAGGUCCACGACUUCAUUCUUGAGGUCAGCAAGACCAAGAAUCCACCAGAAGGAACCAAUUCCAGACACUUCUUGGUGACCAAGAAGGGACUAUCGUCAAGCAGUGAGUACCAUUGGACCCCUUUCGCUAGCUAUUCUGUCCUAUUUUUCCUUAGGAUUCAGGGACUAAACACCAGGCACCUGUCAGCCAGUUAAAAGUGACUAGCGUGGCCACCGGACUAAAGACAUGGGUGUCAGGCUUUCUGGGAAAGGGCUCUCUAACAAACCCUGACUCUUCGGAGUUGGGAGCGUUGGUUUACCUGGAACCAGCUUCCACUUUUCCUGUACAUCUGGGCUGACCCAAGGGUUGACAGAAAGGAAAGCCAUUCAGCUCCAAGGUCCCAACAAAAUGUUGGUUGACCAUGUAGCCAUGAGUGGAACUCUCAAAGUUACAUUGCCCAAGCAACACUUGCCCAUCUAUCCUAUCUAUCCUGACCCUUGCCUCCUGGGUCCUAAUGCCUGUCAGACAAACUUCCUCCUGCCUCUCUUCUCCGAGACUAGUCCCGCUUUUAGAAAGCACUCCCUGUUUCUGGUGCUUUUCUAGUUUCUCCUAUAAGAAUGAUGUCUAGUAUAAAUUUCAUGACUCUGUUCCCUUCUUUAGGCACCCAGGCUCACCAAUUAGACAUAAUUUUUGCCCAAAGCCCCGUCGCGUGGGGGAGUUCAACUAUCCUUUUAGGAUCCCUCCUCAGACAAGCAGGCCUAACAAAGGCUAUAUGGGGAGCUUCAGAAAUUAUAUCCUUCCUAUCCAUAUGAUGAGAAGUAAGGACAAAAGGCAUUACUCUUCCAACCCUGGAGAUCUCUUCCCUCCCUCAGGGUAUGGCCCUCCACUCCAUUUUUGGGGAAUAUCAUCUUUAUAGGAAAGGGGUAAGGUCCCAAUACUAACAGGAGAAAAUGCUUAGGACUCUAAUAGGUUUUCAAGAAUGUGUUGUUAAGGGCCACUAAACCUGAUUUUUCUUGGUCCUCUUUGCGGUCUAAGAGGGAAGGCAAGGGUGCAGGUUUUCAAGAAUGUGUCGGUAAGGGCCACUAAAUCCGACCUUCCUCAGUCCUCCUUGUGGUUUAGGAGGAAAACUAGUGUUU
rnacentral:lncRNA from 1 species